UACGUAGGGUGCGAGCGUUGUCCGGAAUUAUUGGGCGUAAAGAGCUCGUAGGCGGUUUGUCGCGUCGGCCGUGAAAACUUGGGGCUUAACCCCGAGCCUGCGGUCGAUACGGGCAGACUAGAGGUAGGUAGGGGAGACUGGAAUUCCUGGUGUAGCGGUGAAAUGCGCAGAUAUCAGGAGGAACACCGGUGGCGAAGGCGGGUCUCUGGGCCGAUACUGACGCUGAGGAGCGAAAGCGUGGGGAGCGAACAGG
rnacentral:rRNA from 1 species